UUAGUGACAAACUUGAGUAGCAAGCAAGCGACAGUAGAUCCAAGCAACUGAGCAAUAACAUAAACAACACCACGAAUAAAACUGAUGUUCCCACCAACAAAGGCGCCAAAGGUGACAGCAGGGUUAACAUGUCCACCAGAGAUAUUGGCACCAACCGAAACCGCAACGAACAGGGCAAGAGCGUGAGCGAUCGCAGCCGCCAAGAGGCCGGUUGGGGUUGCCGCGCCAUCGUUAGGUGGAGAUGAACUCAGCUAACCCGGCCUUAAUAGUAUCCGGGUGACUGAACUCAUGGUGUUGUCCGAUGGCGAUUGAACGGAUCGGCAUGGUGGAAGGUUGAUCGGACGGUGGAGAUAGGGAGGAGAGUGGUU
rnacentral:lncRNA from 1 species